rnacentral:rRNA from 1 species
CCUACGGGGGGCAGCAGUGGGGAAUAUUGCACAAUGGGGGAAACACUGAUGCAGCGACGCCGCGUGAGGGAAGAAGGAUCUCGGUAUGUAAAACCCUUUUAGCAGGGAAGAAAAUGACGGUACCUGACUAAGAAGCCCCGGCUAACUACGUGCCAGCAGCCGCGGUAAUACGUAGGGAGCGAGCGUUAUCCGGAUUUACUGGGUGUAAAGGGAGCGUAGGCGGGAUCACAAGUCUGGUGUGAAAUCCCGGGGCUUAACCCCGGGACUGCCUUGGAAACUGGGGGGCUUGAGUGCAGGAGAGGUAAGCGGAAUGCCUAGUGUAGCGGUGAAAUGCGUAGAUAUUAGGAGGAACACCGGUGGCGAAGGCGGCUUACUGGACUGUAACUGACGCUGAGGCUCGAAAGCGUGGGGAGCAAACAGGAUUAGAUACCCUUGUAGUC